rnacentral:rRNA from 1 species
UACGAAGGGGGCUAGCGUUGCUCGGAAUCACUGGGCGUAAAGGGUGCGUAGGCGGGUCUUUUAAGUCAGGGGUGAAUCCUGGAGCUCAACUCCAGAACUGCCUUUGAUACUGAAGAUCUUGAGUUCGGGAGAGGUGAGUGGAACUGCGAGUGUAGAGGUGAAAUUCGUAGAUAUUCGCAAGAACACCAGUGGCGAAGGCGGCUCACUGGCCCGAUACUGACGGCUGAUGCACGAAAGCGUGGGGAGCAAACAGG